rnacentral:lncRNA from 1 species
UUAAAGUGGAAAACAAAUGAACGAAUGUAGCAAGAGCAAUAAAUUGUGGUGUCGAGAGUUGUUGUGUGUGGAUGUGAGAGAGGAUGUAGAUGAGAGAGAAACAAAUUGGAUAAUUGAGGAAGGUGGAUUAGGGUUAGAUGAGUGUUUUUGAUUUUUUUUUAGUAGGAGUUAUUGUAGGGAUGACAAAGAGAAUGUUGUAGUGAGAAAGAUGAAAGAGAAAGGGUUGAGAGGAAUGAAGAACGAGGUGAGUAAGGGUUUGGAGAUUUCUUGUUUUUUUUAGUUUUUGAGAAUGAAAAUUAUUCAAAUACUCUUAACCUUAAAACUUAGAAUCCAUUAUAUAUGAGAGUAUUUUUAUCUACUAAAAACUGAUAUACUUUACUUAAAUGUAUCAAAUAAAAAAAAAGC